CCUCCGUCUAAAAAAGACAAAUCCUUAGUUUCCGUCUUAUAUAAAUUUUUUUUAUAAUUAGUAUUUUUAUUAUUAUUAGAUGAUAAAACAUGAUUAAUACUUUAUACGUGACUUAUCUUUUUAAUUUUUUUUAUAUUUUUUAAAAUAAGACGGACGUUGGACACGAAAAUUCAG
rnacentral:pre_miRNA from 1 species